AGGUCAAACUCCAAAUUUUCCACCCAUCCAGAUCCAGAUCCACACCAGCCACCCGACCGAGUCACGUGCGUCGCCGGUCGCCAGUCCGCCGGGAGCCGCGCGCGCCGCCGUUCGCCAGCCACCUCCGGCGCCGUUCGCCAGCCACCACGCGCACCGCCACUCGCUGCCUUCUCGCCGGGAGACUGAAGCUGCCGUCGCCGGCCGCCUUCGUCGACGCGCCGCCGGGCCGCGCGACGCCUGAAGCCAUCUUCACCAGGAGCGGCCGGCAGGCUCCGUCGAUGCGCCGCCAGCCUGCAGCCAUCUUCAAUGGGAGCCGUCGUCGCCGUGCCGCCGGGAGUCGCCGUCGCCGCGCCAAUGGGAACUGCCGUCGCCGCCGCCAUCUGCCGACCAUGGCUUCGGCCUUCAGCCACCUCCCCCCUAAAGCUACAAUAGCGACGAUGCAAGGGAUACUUUGAUAGCCGGCCAGCAUUUGAUGCUAAAUAAAGGGGCUUUCCAAGCACACUUUAUAAGACCUGAUAAUUUAGCCUAUCGGAGAAACUGUCCCUUCAAUCAGGAGAGUUGGAUAAUGAUUUUAGGGAUUCCUUCGGAUUACAUAAAUGAGACUCACAUUCAUAGGAUUGUAAACGCUUUUGGGAAGUUUAUACAUUGGCAUCACAAAAUAGUGUUCUUGGCAGAGUUCUGGGAAGUUAAUCCAUUGGCAUCAAAGAGAUAGUAUUCUUGGCAGAGUUCUGGCAAAAUGUCUUUAUACAGACCCUAGUGAAGUGCCUAGAAGAAUUGUUAUGGAAAAUCCUGUUAAUAUGGGAGGUAAUGGAGAGUCAUGGACUCUGCACACUUCUGUGCUUAAUUGGGAGUUCACUGAUGUUCUUCCUAUGGAUGAGGAUUUACCCAUUUUGUGGUAGCAAAUUGAGGAUUUGCAUAUGGAGAUACCAAAUAUGCAGCAUGAGAAUAAUGUACUUCUUGAAUUUAGGGGAACAACAUGCUGAAAAGAAUAAUAUGCAGCAUGAGAAUAACGUACUUCUUCAGAAUUUAGGGGAACAACAUGCUGAAAAGAAUGCUCCUGGCCAAGUCCAAGAAGAACAUGCUGAAAAGAAUGCUCCUGGCCAAGUCCAAGAAGAAAUGCAGUAAUACUAUGUCUCCAUUGAUGAUUUUUCCUUGGAAGAUUCAGAUUCAGUCCAUAACCUGGAGUAGUAUGAAUUAAUAUAAGGAACUGGACCAGUUGGAGAUAGUGCCUUUCAAGUUAUCACUGUCUUCCUUCCCUUUCAGCAUUCUUCCUCUUAAUGUUUGCUUUACCAUUGCAGAAAAUGUGUUUAAACUAUUGAUCACUGCUUUCAGCCCUCCAUGGUCAGUUCACCUGAGAUUACGCCAACCUGGUCUUUAAUCAAAGUUGUUCUUCUAGAUUUGGUAACAAACCAAGUCAGUGGCAUUCAGGCUUGAUUUCUCUCGGUUCUGAAUAAGGUAUAAAGCAUGAGUACUUAUUUCCCAUCACGCAAUAAAAAGUAUUCAUCUAUAAAGUGUGAACCACAUACCUUGCUAAAUGUAGUUAGUUUUUUCUUUCCUCAACCAUAUAUAUGCUCAUUUUUAAAUCAUGAAACUAUUAACUUGUAUUCACAGUAGAAAGAACAUCAAUUGAGAUGUCAGCUUCUCACAGGAAUUUUUUUUUUGAGAUAUUAGUUGUCCGAAAAUUAAGCAUCAUGAGCUCAGGAGCCUCUGCGGCUCUGUCCUGGCUUUGAGUCCUCCUAACAUAUACAUUAUCACACAAUAUGAAUAAGGAGUCUAACAUUUUAAAUAUAUAUUUGCCAUUCAAGCUUGUAGUUCAGUUUUAACAACAAUAAUACCUUUUGUAGUAGAAACAUCUAUAAACCUAAGAAUAAGUACAGGCUUAUCAUAGGAUUUGCAUUAAUAACACUCGCCAAUAGGAUUCUCUACUUGCAUAUCUACUACCUUUUGUUAUCUGAUUGCCUCCAUAUCAGAGCUUGUAAAUUUUCCACCUGCUGUUAAAAUCUACUAGCACCAAUAUCUCUCAAAGAACAGGUGCUACAAUAACUGUAUUUAGCUUAUUUUGGAUUCUAAGUACUACUUCAGUGAUAUCCAGAACCAAGAAGUAAAAUACUUGUUUCUCCUAGCUAACUAGAAUAACAUCUUGGGUUUAAUCCAAAGCAUUAGAAUGAUCUUCACUGGGAGAAAAAAAAUAUUGCAAAUUGCUAGCAAAAUUUAUUAACAAUGUUCCAAGAAACCAAUCAUAUUAGGGUGAAAUAUUUUUUUUCUACAUAAACAUGGCCAGUUGUAAUCCUUUACCAUUAGCAUUCUAUAAAACAAUAAAUGAACACAUUAUUUCCCUUACUCCACCACCUGUUGAGAAAUAUUUCAUUUAUGACUAAGAAGUAUUUGCAUUCGUUUUUCUAUGUGUAUAUUGUUAUUGUUUCCAGUCAUCUGAGAAAACAAGUCCUAUAUUUUAUUUGUAUACUAAUGUUUUGAUAACUUUGGCAAUGCAUCCUAACCACUACAUCUUGUGCCCCAAAACAGUUAUAAGCAUCAUCUUUACAUCCUCAACUCUAAAAUUUAGAAAUAAGAUGGGAAUAUUUCAUGAUAAGACAAAAUAGUGAACUUAUUCUCACAAAAAUCUAGAAAGAGUUUAUCACAUUUUUCAAGUGUUUUUAAUGUAUGUCUCCCUCUUCUUGUGAUUUGUAGUUUUCAUGGUUUUAAUUAUAACUAACAUUAUCCAAAUUUUUUGCUUUAGAUUCAUGUGGCAACUGCUUGUAGCAAUGACAAUUGCAAUCUACAUUCCUAGAUUUCUACUGUUGGUAGGAUUUGCCAUAGGAUUAUCUAUAGAUUUAUGAGGUUUGACCUUCUUAGGCAAAAAAAAAUACAUAACAAACAACAUAUACAGAGAAAACAUUGACUUCUUAUUGAGGACACUACCACUGGAAGUCUCAGCUAGUGAUACUUUUUUUGCCAAGUUCAAUGACCAACUCAACCCAAGAGCAGGUGUAUGCAGUUGGGCAGUGUUGUGAUGACACUGAUAUUUUUAUAUCUUGCAAUAUCUUUUUUCUCUCUCUAUGAAGAUCAUUAUAAUGUUUUAGAUUAAAUGCAAGAUGUUCUUUUAGUAUGAGUCACUAAACAUCAAUUUUACACUGAGUGGGUCUGGGGGGCCUUGGCCCCCCGUCAAUUUUACCCCUAGUAGAAUAGGGUGCCUUAGCCUUCUAGUUACAUUGAGCGGGUACAAGAUCAGCCUUAGAAAAUCUUGCACUCUGAACUGUUUAACUCAGGCGAGAACUGUGCGAGGCCGAAUAUGGUGUAGUUAUAUUUACUCCCUAGGACCUUCUCUCUUUACUCCUAGUUGGAUCUGCGUCUUUUUCACCUCCAGAAUCACCAAAGUCUCCAAUCUGUUUGCUCCUAGUUAGUUCUGCAUCAUUUUCAUCUCCAGAAUCACCAAAGCCUUCAAUUUCCUUGCUCUCAGUUAGUUCUGCAUCUUUUUCACCUCUAGAAUCAACAAAGCCUUCAAUAUUUUUGCUCCCAGAUAGUUCUACACCUAUAUGUGAAACAAUGCUCAUAAGUUCUAUUUGGGAUUGAAGUAUAUAUAGUACAUAUCAUUGGUCAUUCUUUUAGAAGUGCUUACUCGAGAGCUUUGUUCGUUUCUUCAGUACAUGUUUCUUCCUCAAAAGAAAUAGUGGUGCUAGGACUACUAUGAUUACCACAACGCUCGGCACCACUAUAGCCACUAUUAGAAUAGUUGUAUGGUUCUUAUGAUUUGUUCCUGCAUGUGAUUGUCAAUUGUUAAUUUAAUGGGUAUUACAAUUUCAUUAGCAAGAAUGAAAAUAACACAUCUAUUUACAAACAAGAAUGUAAAUAUAAAGCACGGUGAGUUUGGUAUACUACCAAGGCCCCUAGUAGAUAGUGUCAAACCAAUAUAAACUAACAAUAGUUUAAUCAGUGUAUGGCAAUAGAUCAGCAUGUAUAAACAUACUUUUAAACACGGAAUGAGUCUAAUAUAACACAUAGUGAGUUCGGUACCAAAAAUGAAAGCAAAAUUGUAGGGCCCCUAGUACCUUUUGAACGAAUGUAAACUAAAAAUAUUUCAAUCAAUGUAUAGCAAUAGAGUAUCAUGCAUAAAUAAACUUUCAAACAUAAAUAAAUUUUGCAUCUCAUACCUUUAGGCUUGACUGUAGCUUGAUAGAUGAGUUGGUCCAACAUUGGAGGGCCCGUGAAGAAAGGAUAUCCCUCAUAACGCAAGUUACACCAUAUUGUUGCUCUUGUCCCACCUGUUGACAUACUAAAAUGCGAACUAGAGGCUAGAUCUCCAAACAAAUCUUGCACUCUAAACUGUUUAACUCAGGUGAGCACUGUGCGAGGCCGAAUAUGGUGUAGUUAUAUUCAUUCCCUAGGACCUUCUCUCGUCCUGUAGCAAAUCUUUUUGAUAGGUCUGUUAUCUUUCUUGCCACAUCAUCAACAAAUAACAUGACUGUCUCACUAAACGACCUGCCCUGACUGAUAUAACCAGGGUUGUCCUAUAAAGCUAUAUUUUCCAUGUCAUGUUGAAUAUCAAACUUAAAAUCUUUUCCAGAAAUUCCGAGGUGGCAAAAGUUGUAAAAUGCUAUACUAUCCCUCUUUGAAGAAUAUACUUGUUGUAUGUCCUUAAUGGCCUUGGUGAUACACCUCUUACAGGUACUAAUAUCAGUGUCGCCACGACACUGUGUAUACACCUGCUCUUUAGUUGAGUUGGUGAUGACCUUGGCAAACAGAGUAUCACUAGCUGAUACUUUCAGAGGUAAUGUUCUCAAUAAAAAGUCAAUGUUCUCUCUGUAUAUGUUGUUUGAUUUAUAGUUUUUGCCUUCACAGUUCAAACUCUAUAAAUCUGUAGAUAAUCCAGUGGCAAAUUGUACCAACAGUAGAAAUCUAAGAAUGCAGAUUGCAGUUGUCAUUUCUAUGGUUGCCACAUGAAUCUAAAAUAAGAAUUUACAUAAUGUUAGUUACAAUUAAAAUCAUAACUACAAAUGGCAUGAAGAGGGAUAAAGACACUAAAAAGCACUUGAAAAAUAUGAUAAUGUGACAUCUUACUGAUUACUAGUAGUAUUUUUUGAAGGUUAUUCAGCACUUACGAUGACCUAUUUCAAUUCGUUUACCAAAACAAUGAGGAAACAUAUCUUUUCAUUUUUUUUCCCUUUUUUUCUAUUAUGACAUGUGCUGUGAUGCAGCUAUUUCUGUCAUCACCAUGAGUUGAAAUAAAUGCUAAAUGACUAGAAAAAAGAAUGGGAACUAAAUGCUUCCAUGUGAAACUAUUUCUGCUAACAUGCUUUGUUGAAGAUUUUUGAAUUGUAUACUGGUUAAGUGGUUUUUCUUAGACGUGGUAGUCACACGGUAAAGGUAUUGGAAGAACCAUCAUGACUGAUGCCAUCAGAGAGUUUGAUGUUUAUUUCAGCUACCACUACCAAGAAAGCUGACGUUGGAUCUUUCUGUGCUUCCGAAGAAGGCUAUGAUAAUGCAAAUUAAAUGUCAGAAUUUCAAAGAUUCAUUAGUUGGAGUAAGAAUAACUGAAUAAAGAUGCUGCUAUCUUUCUGAUGCUUCCGAAGAAGGCUGUUUUUUUAAAUAUAUAAUGUAAUUGACUUUUGUAAUUCGGCUGACUAUUCAUCUUUUUUAGAAAUAUUUGUGCAAAUAUACAAACAUACAAGACAUGCUUAAAGUGAUUUUGAUGGCAGAUUUAGUUGUA